AUUGAACGCUGGCGGCAGGCCUAACACAUGCAAGUCGAGCGAGCGGCGGACGGGUGAGUAAUGUCUGGGAAACUGCCUGAUGGAGGGGGAUAACUACUGGAAACGGUAGCUAAUACCGCAUACCAUCGGAUGUGCCCAGAUGGGAUUAGCUAGUAGGGGGGGUAAAGGCGCACCUAGGCGACGAUCCCUAGCUGGUCUGAGAGGAUGACCCGCCACACUGGAACGUAGACACGGUCCAUACGCCUACGGGAGGCAGCAGUGGGGAAUAUGUCACAAUGGGCGCAAGCCUGAUGCAGCCAUGCCGCGUGUAUGAAGAAGGCCUUCGGGUUGUAAAGUACUUUCAGCGGGGAGGCGUUACCCGCAGAAGAAGCACCGGCUAACUCCGUGCCAGCAGACGCGGUAAUUC
rnacentral:rRNA from 1 species